UGGGGAAUAUUGCACAAUGGGCGCAAGCCUGAUGCAGCCAUGCCGCGUGUAUGAAGAAGGCCUUCGGGGUGUAAAGUACUUUCAGUCGGGAGGAAGGUGUCAAGGUUAAUAACCUUGGCAAUUGACGUUACCGACAGAAGAAGCACCGGCUAACUCCGUGCCAGCAGCCGCGGUAAUACGGAGGGUGCAAGCGUUAAUCGGAAUUACUGGGCGUAAAGCGCACGCAGGCGGUCUGUCAAGUCGGAUGUGAAAUCCCCGGGCUCAACCUGGGAACUGCAUUCGAAACUGGCAGGCUAGAGUCUUGUAGAGGGGGGUAGAAUUCCAGGUGUAGCGGUGAAAUGCGUAGAGAUCUGGAGGAAUACCGGUGGCGAAGGCGGCCCCCUGGACAAAGACUGACGCUCAGGUGCGAAAGCGUGGGGAGCAAACAGG
rnacentral:rRNA from 1 species